AAUGCUCAGUAACACGUCGGUAACCUACCCUCGGGAGGGGGAUAACCCCGGGAAACUGGGGCUAAUCCCCCAUAGGCCUGAGGUACUGGAAGGUCCUCAGGCCGAAAGGGGCUCUGCCCGCCCGAGGAUGGGCCGGCGGCCGAUUAGGUAGUUGGUGGGGUAACGGCCCACCAAGCCGAAGAUCGGUACGGGCCAUGAGAGUGGGAGCCCGGAGAUGGACACUGAGACACGGGUCCAGGCCCUACGGGGCGCAGCAGGCGCGAAACCUCCGCAAUGCGGGAAACCGCGACGGGGGGACCCCCAGUGCCGUGGCAUCGCCACGGCUUUUCCGGAGUGUAAAGAGCUCCGGGAAUAAGGGCUGGGCAAGGCCGGUGGCAGCCGCCGCGGUAAUACCGGCGGCCCGAGUGGUGGCCGCUAUUAUUGGGCCUAAAGCGUCCGUAGCCGGGCCCGUAAGUCCCUGGCGAAAUCCCACGGCUCAACCGUGGGGCUUGCUGGGGAUACUGCGGGCCUUGGGACCGGGAGAGGCCGGGGGUACUCCUGGGGUAGGGGUGAAAUCCUAUAAUCCCAGGAGGACCGCCAGUGGCGAAGGCGCCCGGCUGGAACGGGUCCGACGGUGAGGGGCGAAGGCCAGGGGAGCGAACCGGAUUAGAUACCCGGGUAGUCCUGGCUGUAAAGGAUGCGGGCUAGGUGUCGGGCGAGCUUCGAGCUCGCCCGGUGCCGAAGGGAAGCCGUUAAGCCCGCCGCCUGGGGAGUACGGCCGCAAGGCUGAAACUUAAAGGAAUUGGCGGGGGAGCAC
rnacentral:rRNA from 1 species